rnacentral:rRNA from 1 species
UAUGACUCUCAAUAAUGGAUAUCUUGGCUCUUGCAUUGAUGAAGUACGUAGUGAAAUGUGAUACAUGAUGCGAAUUGCAGAAUACCAUGAACUAUCAAGUUCUUGAAUGCAAGUAGUGCUCAAGGCUAACUGGUUGAGGGCACGUCUUCCUAGGCAUCACGG